rnacentral:rRNA from 1 species
GACGUAGGGGGCCAGCGUUGUUCGGAAUUACUGGGUGUAAAGGGUUCGUAGGCGGUGUGGCAAGUCGGGAGUGAAAUCUCUGGGCUCAACCCAGAGACUGCUUCCGAAACUGCUGUGCUUGAGUGUGAGAGAGGCUCGUGGAAUUGCAGGUGUAGCGGUGAAAUGCGUAGAUAUCGUAAGGAAGACCAGUGGCGAAGGCGGGUCUCUGGACAGUUCCUGA